AUGACUACACCCAUGCCUACUAGUGGACAUCUUGACUUGACCAAAGAUGGUGAACCGGUUGAUCAAAAGGUUUAUCGCUCAAUGAUUGGUUCAUUGUUAUAUCUAUGUGCUUCACGUCCCGAUAUUAUGCUAAGUGUGUGCAUGUGUGCACGAUAUCAAGCUGCUCCUAAAGAAUGUCAUCUUAAGGCCGUGAAAAGGAUAGUGAGAUACUUAAUCCAUACACCAAACUUUGGCAUUUGGUAUCCUAAGAGGGCCUCUUUCGAUCUUGUUGGCUACUCCGACUCGGACUAUGCCGGCGACAAGGUUGAUAGAAAGUCCACUUCAGGUACUUGUCAAUUUCUUGGUAGAUCUCUUUUGUCUUGGUCCUCCAAGAAACAAAACUCGGUAUCCUUAUCCACUACCGAAGCGGAACACAUCGCCGCUGGUUCAUGUUGUGCUCAUUUACUUUGGAUGACCCAAACUCUUAAAGAUUAUGGGAUAUAUGUGAAACAUGUUCCAUUGCUUUGUGACAAUGAAAGUGCAAUCAAAAUUGGUCAUAAUCCUGUGCAACAUUCUCGAACUAAGCAUAUUGAAGUUCGUCAUCAUUUCAUUCAAGAUCAUGUUGCUAAGGGUGACAUUGAUCUUAAGCAUGUUCGCACCAAAAAGCAAUUAGCGGAUAUAUUCACUAAACCUCUUGAUGAGAAAGUGUUUUGCAGGUUAAGAGGAGAAUUGAACAUCAUUGAUGCUUCAAACUUGGAGUAG
rnacentral:rRNA from 1 species